rnacentral:tRNA from 1 species
CCAGUGGUGGUUCAGAGGCAGGAUCCUCACCUUCUAUGCAGGAGACCCGGGUUCGAUUCCCGGCCAGUGUA